GACGAACGCUGGCGGCGUGCCUAAUACAUGCAAGUCGAACGCAGUGGGGACGGGUGAGUAACACGUGGGUAACCUCCCAUCAGAGGGGAUAACACUUGGAAACAGGUGCUAAACCGAUACUGCUGGAUGGACACGCGGUGCAUUAGCUAGUUGGGGGGGUAACGGCUCACCAAGGCCACGCUGCCUAGACGAUCUGAGAGGGUGAUCGGCCACACUGGGACUGAGACACGGCCCAGACUCCUACGGGAGGCAGCAGUGGGGAAUAUUUGGCAAUGGGCGAAAGUCUGAUCGAGCAAUGCCGCGUGAGUGAAGAAGGUUUUCGGAUCGUAAAGCACUUUUGUGAGGGAAGCGUUAUCUAACCAGAAAGCACCGGCUAACUCCGUGCCAGCAGCCGCGGUAAUUC
rnacentral:rRNA from 1 species